rnacentral:rRNA from 1 species
UACCCGCAGCACAAGUGGUGGUCAUUAUUAUUGGGCCUAAAGCGUCCGUAGCUGGCUUGUUAGAUGCCUGGGUAAAUCGAUGCGCCCAACGCAUCGAACUCCGGGUAGACCGGCAAGCUUGGGACCGGGAGAGGCGUGAGCUACUCGAGGGGUAGGGGUAAAAUCCUGUAAUCCUUCGGGGAGGACCAGUGGCGAAGGCGUCACGCUAGAACGGCUCCGACAGUGAGGGACGAAGCCCUGGGGCGCAAACCGG